AUGUCUAAAGCGCCACCAAGAAAAGAAAAGAACUUGUCUGCUCAAGAUACUUCAAGUGUUCAGCUGUCAAUUGAUAACUCUUGCCUGGUGAUCCUAUUUCUACCCUGGUGUGCAAAAUUUCUGUCAAUCAAGCCCUUUCAAUUAUUGCUGGACAAGGGAUACCUAGAGUAUCACAUAACUCUUGGAGAAAUUAAUUCAAAAAUUUUGCAAUCAUCGGUUGUUCAGUAUGUACAGCCAGCAAACUCGGUUCCAGAAUAUAUGAAUUCAUGUGCAGCCAGUGCCACUAGUUAUUGUUGUCAUUGGCAUUUCUUCACUCAGUUUAAGAGGUUGUGGGCUCCAAGAACUAAAGAAGAGGUGCUUGGUCAGAUGUGGUCCGAACCUUUGUUUCACGCUUUUUGUCACCCAUGGGAUGCAAGUGACAAGCAAUGGAAUUCAGAGGGCCAUCAUAAACAACAUGUCAACCUCUUAGUUGUUUUGGUAUAUUCGACGGUGGAGCAUAUUGAUAGGCUGCAGUUCCGUUGCAACGCCAAAUCGUGCCCUCAAAUAGCCAAGAUUUUGAAUGAGCCGCAAGUGCUUGAGUAUGCUCGUUCGGUCGUUUCUAAUUUUAUUCAAAGCGAUUAUUUGUGCUAUUGCGCUCCCUGUGUUCGUGACCAGCCCAAGGUGAAUUCUAGUACAUCAACAAGUGCUCUUACGAGCCCACUUGCUCAGCAACAAGACUAUAACUUUGGCAUUGAGAGUAUAUUCAAGCUCUUGCUGCACAUACUACAUCAGACUUCUUGUUCUAAAUUCAGUCAUGCUGACCACAACUUGGACAAGCAUAAUUCAGAGACUGCAAAUCGUCGUACCUUUGCUUCGGUCCUACAUAACAGCAACAAAUUCACUUCCACCGGUUACAUAUGUUUGGGCAUCCCAUUGGUCGACAGUAGGACCCUGCUGAUGGAGUUGGAAUUACUUAUCACACAACCGGCAGGACAUUUUCCCAUGCUGCAACCCAAACCCCCAUGGUCACCUCUUUUCCCACCAAAAAUUCCUACAGAAUUCAGAAGCUAUAUGCGAACUAAUUCAGAGUUUCUGCGUCUCACUGGUGUUCUUUGGGAAUUGACUCAAUCUUGGCCCUUUACUCAUCAUGUCAGUACCUUGUCAAGCUAUUGGCGGUGCUUCUCUUGGGGACCAGGUCCCAUGACUACUCUGUUUUGGUUGGCCCAUAUCAUCGCCGAAAAGUUACAAGAAGGGUUGCCAUGUAUUUCUGAGAGCUCUACUAUCUGCGGUGGUUUGCGUGCAAUGAGACCCAUAACUGAAGAUUACAUCGCAACUUUUAUCGUGAGGUGGCAAUUCAUACAAUCAGUUCAAUCAGCAACUUCAUGUGUGCAGUGGGAUCCAGGAGGAUUUGAUUUUGUUGAACUAGCGGGGAACAGGCACCGGCUCGGCAGAUAUACAGAACUUCAAGACUCCUGUUCUCCUUCCUGGCUAGCUGAUGGCACCUCACAUAUGCUCUAA
rnacentral:rRNA from 1 species